GGAGAUCUCUUCCACCACUGGAUUCAACAAGGAAGUCUUGAGGAAGAACUGCUUCAUCCUCAAAUUUGAUCAAGCAGGGAGAUGUCCUCCACAGCUGGAUCCAAGAAGCAGUGAUUGUUGAUAAGCAGGUUCAGCUGGUGCCUAUUAAUCUUCAAACUGUCGGCACCUUUGUCUUCCACCAUGGGUGUGUGUUGAUCAAAU
rnacentral:lncRNA from 1 species